CCAGACUCCUACGGGAGGCAGCAGUGGGGAAUAUUGCACAAUGGGGGAAACCCUGAUGCAGCGACGCCGCGUGGGUGAAGAAGUAUUUCGGUAUGUAAAGCCCUAUCGGCAGGGAAGGAGGAGGACGGUACCUGACUAAGAAGCCCCGGCUAACUACGUGCCAGCAGCCGCGGUAAUACGUAGGGGGCAAGCGUUAUCCGGAUUUACUGGGUGUAAAGGGAGCGUAGACGGCAGUGCAAGUCUGGAGUGAAAGGCGGGGGCUCAACCCCCGGACUGCUCUGGAAACUGUACGGCUGGAGUGCAGGAGAGGUAAGUGGAAUUCCUAGUGUAGCGGUGAAAUGCGUAGAUAUUAGGAGGAACACCAGUGGCGAAGGCGGCUUACUGGACUGUAACUGACGUUGAGGCUCGAAAGCGUGGGGAGCAAACAGGAUUAGAUGCCCCCGUAUA
rnacentral:rRNA from 1 species